GCGCGAACGUGCAAGUUGCUGGCGGGGGUCCAAGCGGUUCAAGGGUGCACGAGACCGUCACCAACGACGCAGUCUGCUGCAAUGUGUGGACGAACUGCUUGCACGCUGCAGCCUGACAGAGUGCGCAGCGCCUGCGGCUAUGUCCCAGAAGCGGAGCAGAAGGGAGGCGGCGGCGGGAAAUUCCGCAAAGCUCGCUGGGUGGACCAGCCGGGAUCAAAGGCGUAUCACCCAUCUUAUAAUAUUGC